rnacentral:rRNA from 1 species
AGUGAACGCUGGCGGUAGGCCUAACACAUGCAAGUCGAACGGCAGCACAGGAGAGCUUGCUCUCUGGGUGGCGAGUGGCGGACGGGUGAGGAAUACAUCGGAAUCUACCUUUUCGUGGGGGAUAACGUAGGGAAACUUACGCUAAUACCGCAUACGACCUUCGGGUGAAAGCAGGGGACCUUCGGGCCUUGCGCGGAUAGAUGAGCCGAUGUCGGAUUAGCUAGUUGGCGGGGUAAAGGCCCACCAAGGCGACGAUCCGUAGCUGGUCUGAGAGGAGGAUCAGCCACACUGGAACUGAGACACGGUCCAGACUCCUACGGGAGGCAGCAGUGGGGAAUAUUGGACAAUGGGCGCAAGCCUGAUCCAGCCAUGCCGCGUGGGUGAAGAAGGCCUUCGGGUUGUAAAGCCCUUUUGUUGGGAAAGAAAAGCAGCCAGUUAAUACCUGGUUGUUCUGACGGUACCCAAAGAAUAAGCACCGGCUAACUUCGUGCCAGCCGCCGCGGUAA